GGUCAGAAGAUGAGACCUUAAACAGUCGGUUCGUGGCGGUCGGUUACACGCCUAAAACAACCUA
ncrna:unclassified sequences GP20-b RNA